rnacentral:rRNA from 1 species
GAUGAACGCUGGCGGCGUGCUUAACACAUGCAAGUCGAACGAAGCACUUUAUUUGAUUUCCUUCGGGACUGAUUAUUUUGUGACUGAGUGGCGGACGGGUGAGUAACGCGUGGGUAACCUGCCUUGUACAGGGGGAUAACAGUUGGAAACGGCUGCUAAUACCGCAUAAGCGCACAGCAUCGCAUGAUGCAGUGUGAAAAACUCCGGUGGUAUAAGAUGGACCCGCGUUGGAUUAGCUAGUUGGUGAGGUAACGGCCCACCAAGGCGACGAUCCAUAGCCGACCUGAUAGGGUGACCGGCCACAGUGGGACUGAGACACGGCCCAAACUCCUACGGGAGGCAGCAGUGGGGAAUAUUGCACAAUGGGCGAAAGCCUGAUGCAGCGACGCCGCGUGAGCGAAGAAGUAUUUCGGUAUGUAAAGCUCUAUCAGCAGGGAAGAUAAUGACGUUACCUGACUAAGAAGCACCGGCUAAAUACGUG